rnacentral:rRNA from 1 species
CCUACGGGAGGCAGCAGUGAGGAAUAUUGGUCAAUGGACGCAAGUCUGAACCAGCCAUGUAGCGUGCAGGAUGACGGCCCUAUGAGUUGUAAACUGCUUUUGUAUGAGGGUAAACUCCGAUAUGUGUACUUGUUUGAAUGUACCGUAUGAAUAAGGAUCGGCUAACUCCGUGCCAGCAGCCGCGGUAAUACGGAGGAUUCGAGCGUUAUCCGGAUUUAUUGGGUUUAAAGGGUGCGUAGGCGGUCGGUUAAGUCAGUUGUGAAAUCCCGAGGCUCAACCUCAGAAUUGCAUUUGAUACUGGUAGGCUAGAGAAUAGUAGCGGUAGGCGGAAUGUGUGGUGUAGCGGUGAAAUGCUGAGAGAUCAUACAGAACACCGAUUGCGAAGGCAGCUUAC